rnacentral:lncRNA from 1 species
AACAGUAGAUAGGAUAAAGGAGAGAGGAUAAAGGAAAAACUUAUCCCUUAGAACAGUGUGGGGGAAUUUGGUGACACACAACUUAGGGUCCAGUACAAACCCUGUCCCUUACCAGCCUCAGUUACCCUGUCUGGAAAAUGGAAACAAUGCUCACUCUGCUCUGUGUUCAGUUUGGAAAUGGAAAGAAAUGGCUGUGCUAGGAACAGUUGUGCAGAGACUCUUUAUUCUUCGCUCCGGACCACAGAGACUCGGAGCCAUGAAGUCUUCCACUGUGGUUUCAGGACUGCCAUAAAUGUGAAUCUUGGGGCGUCUUCAGAUCCCUUCAUUUUUCUGGCUACUGUAAGAAAACAGUAAGAAGAAAGAAAGAAAGAAAGCAACUCUGGACAGAAAGAAGCAACUCGGUCUGAAAAGAUCAGAGCUCUGGGAGGGGAUCAACAGCUUGACUGACAUAAAGGUUUCGAAGAGGUGUGAUACAUCGGCGCUGGAAGAUUCUGAUGAUUCUGCCUCCUUGUACAAAUUCAUUUUCCCACAAGCAGUAUGUGAGGGUGCUCUGUCCCCACCCUCUGUGUGAGCCUUGAGCUCGGGUGGAGUCCUCGUUACCUUUGAGGGGAAGAAACAGUUUCCCUGUGAGAUUCUCCACUCUCUAUGUGAUUCUCCACUCCCUGUGUGAUUCUCCACUCCCAGUGUGAUUCUCUUCCUCCUGUUCCUUUCAGCUUUCAUAGUAUUUCUUUGGAGAAUUUUUAAAAAUAUGUAUUUUUGGAGUGCAUAACUGAUUUAUAGGAGUUCAUUUUAAUUCAUUAUAAUCAUAGCUACGAUACAAUUAAAGUUUAUUUAUAAUGUAUACAAUUACAGUAUAUGAUAGCUACAAUGAAGUCAUAGUUAUAAUUAACAAUUAUAUUUAUAUAAAAUUAAUAAUUAUAUACUAAAUAUUAUAUAAUUAAUCAUUGUGAAUUAAACUGUUGCUCUC